UGAGAAUAUGGUGGUAUUAUUCAUGCGGCACCACGGACUGAGAGCAGGAGGCUGUGUGUUCUAAUCUCAACCCCUUCAUUGGAAGAAGGUAAAUCUGGUCCCUGUUAGUUCAUUUCGGCUGCAAGUGGAUGUCUGCUAUUAGAGAAAGAGGAAGGGAGAAAGAGAAAGAUCAGUGUGAGAGUAUGCGCCCAGACCGGUGACCCAUGCUGGGACUGGGGAUGGACCCACAGCCUAGAUCCACCGAACUGGCUUCCUUAGACCAGAGACUGAUAAGCCUUUUCUGUAAAGGGCCUGAUGGUAACUAUUUCAUGACUUCCCAGCUACGCACUCUCUGCUGCACCUACUCAACUCUGCCGUAUGCGAGCAGACACAGA